AUUGAACGCUGGCGGAAUGCUUUACACAUGCAAGUCGAGCGGCAGCGCGGGGGGCAACCCUGGCGGCGAGCGGCGAACGGGUGAGUAACAUAUCGGAACGUACCCCGUCGUGGGGGAUAACACAGCGAAAGCUGUGCUAAUACCGCAUACGACCUGAGGGUGAAAGCGGGGGAUCGCAAGACCUCGCGCGAUGGGAGCGGCCGAUAUCGGAUUAGCUUGUUGGUGAGGUAAAGGCUCACCAAGGCGACGAUCCGUAGCUGGUCUGAGAGGACGACCAGCCACACUGGAACUGAGACACGGCCCAGACUCCUACGGGAGGCAGCAGUGGGGAAUUUUGGACAAUGGGCGAAAGCCUGAUCCAGCCAUGCCGCGUGAGUGAAGAAGGCC
rnacentral:rRNA from 1 species